rnacentral:lncRNA from 1 species
AUUAUUUAGUGAUGGGUGUCCUCACUCCUCAGUCUGUUGUGCCUCGGUGGAGUCGUGUAGACUGAAUUCUCUGUGGAAUUGAAUGUUAGCGCUUGCAGGCCGGGCGGUGGAGAAGAAGGCGAGUUUGCCGUGGACACCUGUUGCUCGCCGGCCGAUGGUAAAGGUCCUUGCUUGAGUGACCCCUUACUUGAAGCAUGUGAUUGUUCUGUCUAUUUUUGGUUGCCCUGUUGUAUGACUUGAUUCGGUUCCUUUUGACCUAGCUUGUUAAGUCUGGAUCAGUGGAUGCGGCUGCCCCAAAUGAC